GUGCUCGCUUUGGCAGCACAUAUACUAAAACUGGAGCGAUACAGAGAAGAUUAGCAUGACAGGCAAAUUUGUGAAAGAUGACAGGCAAAUUUGUGAAGCGUUCCAUAUUUUU